GAUGAACGCUGGCGGUAUGCUUAACACAUGCAAGUCGAACGGACUCUUCGGAGUUAGUGGCGGACGGGUGAGUAACGCGUGAGAAUCUGGCUUUGGGUUCGGGACAACCACUGGAAACGGUGGCUAAUACCGGAUGUGCCGAGAGGUAAAAGAGAAAUUGCCUGAAGAUGAGCUCGCGUCUGAUUAGCUAGUUGGUGAGGUAAAGGCUCACCAAGGCAGCGAUCAGUAGCUGGUCUGAGAGGAUGACCAGCCACACUGGGACUGAGACACGGCCCAGACUCCUACGGGAGGCAGCAGGGGGGAAUUUUCCGCAAUGGGCGAAAGCCUGACGGAGCAAUACCGCGUGAGGGAAGAAGGCUCUUGGGGUGUAAACCUCUUUUCUUGGGGAAGAACAAAAUGACGGUACCUAAGGAAUCAGCAUCGGCUAACUCCGUG
rnacentral:rRNA from 1 species